rnacentral:rRNA from 1 species
UACGUAGGGUGCAAGCAUUAAUCGGAAUUAUUGGGCGUAAAGAGCUCGUAGGCGGUCUGUCGCGUCUGCUGUGAAAACUCGGGGCUUAACCCCGGGCCUGCAGUGGGUACGGGCAGACUAGAGGUAUGCAGGGGAGAACGGAAUUCCUGGUGUAGCGGUGAAAUGCGCAGAUAUCAGGAGGAACACCGGUGGCGAAGGCGGUUCUCUGGGCAUUACCUGACGCUGAGGAGCGAAAGUGUGGGGAGCGAACAGG